CCUACGGGAGGCAGCAGUGGGGAAUAUUGCACAAUGGGGGAAACCCUGAUGCAGCCACGCCGCGUGAGUGAGGAAGUAUUUCGGUAUGUAAAGCUCUAUCAGCAGGGAAUAGAAAAGAAGGUACCUGAAAAAGAAGCAUCGGCUAACUACGUGCAAGCAGCCGCGGUAAUACGCAGGGGGCAAGCGUUAUCCGGAUUUACUGGGUGUAAAGGGAGCGUAGACGGAAAGGCAAGUCAGAAGUGAAAGCCCAAGGCUCAACCAUGGGACUGCUUUUGAAACUGUCAAACUAGAGUACGGGAGGGGUAAGUAGAAUUCCUAGUGUAGCGGUGAAAUGCGUAGAUAUUAGGAGGAACACCGAUGGCGAAGGCAUCUUACUGGACCGGAACUGACGUUGAGGCUCGAAAGCGUGGGGAGCAAACAGGAUUAGAUACCCGGGUAGUC
rnacentral:rRNA from 1 species